UAUCCUAGUAAGGCCCACGAUCUUACCCGUAGUAGAAAAGAAUCCGUAUUUUUGUCGGAGUACGUUAUAAGCAGAGCAUCGAGAGCGACAUCCGGGAAGUACCUUUGCUACGUCAAUAAUACCGUGGGUUGGGACGUAGUCGAAAUAGUUGUCAAUGUAAAAUAACCAGAAGCGAUAUGAUGAUUACACUUUUAACGUCAAU